UGUACGGUGGUCUAGCGGUCAGAACACUAGCCUUGUAAGCCUGGGGUCCCGGGUUCAAUUCCCGGUGGUGCUC
rnacentral:tRNA from 1 species